rnacentral:rRNA from 1 species
AACGGCCGUACCGUGCUGAAUAUACCGGUUCUCGUUAGAUCACCGAAGUCAAGCAUCAUUGGGCUCGGUCAGUACUUGGGUGGGUGUCCACCUGGGAACACCGCGUGCCGUU